AGAGUUUGAUCCUGGCUCAGGAUGAACGCUAGCGGCAGGCUUAACACAUGCAAGUCGAGGGGCAGCAUUACUUUUCGGAGUAGAUGGCGACCGGCGCACGGGUGCGUAACGCGUAUGCAACCUACCCUUAACAGUAGGAUAGCCCGGAGAAAUCCGGAUUAAUACUACAUAGUACUAUAAUAUGGCAUCAUAUAGUAGUUAAAGAUUUAUUGGUCAAGGAUGGGCAUGCGUGACAUUAGCUAGUUGGUACGGUAACGGCGUACCAAGGCGACGAUGUCUAGGGGUUCUGAGAGGAAGAUCCCCCACACUGGUACUGAGACGCGGACCAGACUCCUACGGGAGGCAGCAGUGAGGAAUAUUGGUCAAUGGGCGAGAGCCUGAACCAGCCAUGCCGCGUGCAGGAAGACGGCCUUCUGGGUUGUAAACUGCUUUUAUACGGGAGCAAAAAGGCCCUGCGGGGCAAAUUGAGAGUAUCGUAUGAAUAAGCACCGGCCAACUCCGUGCCAGCAGCCGCGGUAAUACGGAGGGUGCAAGCGUUGUCCGGAUUUAUUGGGUUUAAAGGGUGCGUAGGCGGCGUAAUAAGUCAGUGGUGAAAGCCGGCAGCUCAACUGUCGAGGUGCCAUUGAAACUGUUAUGCUUGAGUACAGACGAGGUAGGCGGAAUUUAUGAUGUAGCGGUGAAAUGCAUAGAUAUCAUAAAGAACACCAAUAGCGAA
rnacentral:rRNA from 1 species